UAUCCUACGGGGCGCAGCAGUGAGGAAUAUUGGUCAAUGGGCGGGAGCCUGAACCAGCCAAGUCGCGUGAGGGAAGACGGUCCUAUGGAUUGUAAACCUCUUUAGGCGGGGAGCAAUGCCGGGCACGCGUGCCCGGAGGGAGAGUACCCGCAGAAUAAGCAUCGGCUAACUCCGUGCCAGCAGCCGCGGUAAUACGGAGGAUGCGAGCGUUAUCCGGAUUUAUUGGGUUUAAAGGGUGCGUAGGCGGACAGUCAAGUCAGCGGUAAAAAUGCGGUGCUCAACGCCGUGCAGCCGUUGAAACUGGG
rnacentral:rRNA from 1 species